GAGACUUCACAGGUAACCUGCUAAGGAUGUCCAUAAGUAUUACCUCUGAGAAGUGAAUUGCCAUGGCAUCAACAUCCAUCUGGUCUGUGUUAUCAUUUGAUGGCUCUACAGCGCUCUUCCCUUUUGAAAGCUGAUUAAACUUUUGGAUUGCAUCAAUUCCACUGCUAAUAAGAAUUUGAUUGGAAAGAUCAACCUCUAACUUUGGAGUUGCAAUGGACUUCAUCUUCUGUUUUU
rnacentral:misc_RNA from 1 species